GUGAUUCCUUCAUCAUUACCAGAAUGUAGUCUGUGUUCAACAGGUGAUGGUGGAGAACUGUGGCCUUCUGCUCAGCGCAAAAAGUCUACUGAGGAUCUAGGUGGAUAGAACAGGAGUGCAGAGCCAUAGGUGGACGCCAAGAUGCACUCCUUCCUCUGUCUGGCAAGCUCUGCUGACCCCUGAGGUCGUUCCCACGCUUGCAGAGGUCCUACGGGCUUGGUGUUGGUUGUCGCUUGUGCUCACCUUGCUGUCACCGGGUGUUCUUCCUUUACCCAUCUUUAGGGCUCCCCAGUUCUGAUGGGAUCUCCGUACCCUCUGCUGAUCCCAGAGAACAUGGGUUUGUUCUCUUAUCUUCAGAUUCAGAAUGUUUUCCUGCUGUUAUGCGAUGUCUGUCUUAGUUUUUAUUUUUUUUCUGGGCUGCCUAUUGAUACAUCCUCAGUCUGCAAUAAACCAAAUGAUUUCUGGUAAGGUUUGACCAAGUGAGAUGGAAAAUGAAGUGGUAAGCUCCAAAACAGGCUCGCAGUGAGUGUUUCCUAUGACUUGGGGUUUCUAGCUUGACCUCUGUGUUGUUGGUUUUUUUUUUUUUUUUUUUUUUUUGUAAGCCAUUUGGUUCAGUACCUAAUAUGAAAGUUUCUUUCCUUCUAGUAUUGGAGACUUAUCCACCACAUGGUGAUGCCUUUCCUGACCUCCUUGAUUGCAGUGUUGGAUGUGCCCUGAUCCUUGGAAAGGGGUGAGUGAUUCCUGCAUCCUUACUAGAAGGUAAUCUCUACUUGUCUUGUGCUGUGUGGAACAGGUUGCAGUGGAGAAGUGCAGUUGUCCGGGGCGCUGCAAGGACUCUAUUGAGGCAUUUGGUGGACGCAGCAGGAACCCAUAGCCAGAGAUGGACGCCAAGAUGCACUCCUUCCUCUGUCUGGCAAGCUCUGCUGACCCCUGAGGUCGUUCCCACACUUGCAGAGGUCCUACGGGCUUGGUGUUGGUUGUCGCUUGUGCUCACCUUGCUGUCACCGGGUGUUCUUCCUUUACCCAUCUUUAGGGCUCCCCAGUUCUGAUGGGAUCUCCGUACCCUCUGCUGAUCCCAGAGAACAUGGGUUUGUUCUCUUAUCUUCAGAUUCAGAAUGUUUUCCUGCUGUUAUGCGAUGUCUGUCUUAGUUUUUAUUUUUUUUCUGGGCUGCCUAUUGAUACAUCCUCAGUCUGCAAUAAACCAAAUGAUUUCUGGUAAGGUUUGACCAAGUGAGAUGGAAAAUGAAGUGGUAAGCUCCAAAACAGGCUCGCAGUGAGUGUUUCCUAUGACUUGGGGUUUCUAGCUUGACCUCUGUGUUGUUGGUUUUUUUUUUUUUUUUUUUUUUGUAAGCCAUUUGGUUCAGUACCUAAUAUGAAAGUUUCUUUCCUUCUAGUAUUGGAGACUUAUCCACCACAUGGUGAUGCCUUUCCUGACCUCCUUGAUUGCAGUGUUGG
ensembl:lncRNA